rnacentral:lncRNA from 1 species
ACUACCUGCCUAACAACUGCUGGGGUCAAAGAAAUGGCAGAUGUCCUUAACCCAUUAAUCACUGCAGUAUUUCUAGAGAAAGCAUACAGUUGAAGCUGCAGGGUACUGGAAGAAGCAGUAGAUUGUCAUUACUUAGUACUAAUCCUUGACAGCUUAAUGGACGGUUCACAGUAAUGAAACACCUUCUGAAUACCAGCUGGUAAACAUGAAGGGCUGAAAAUUAUAAACAGGCAUCAAACAGUGCCUCCUACAUCCAGGACGCCUUUCAGCUACUCUUACCUGUGCUAGAGAUCUCUCUCAUUGAGAACAAGAUUGAAUCACACAGACAUGAGCUGCAGGGCCAGAAACCUUUGUUAGAACAUUGAAGAAUGGAGACGUUUUGACCUGGGACUUGUGACGGCCAAGGAAUGCCACCUUAUUCUGGCUACUCCUGCAGAAAUGAAGGAGUGGGGUUAUUUUAGUAUAUAAAAAUUCAGGCAGGAGAGAUGGUUUAAAGAGGAAGAUUGUUGCCUUCAGUGUUUGAUUGAAGUAUUCAGGUUCUCACAGUAUUCUUUCCAGUUGUUGUAAUUCAUAAAUUAUUUGAAAAGAAACUUUUGUAGAAAGUCCAAGAAUAAUAACUCUAGAUAAAGAUUAGUGGGACACUCAGGCAAAAA